CCAAGGGUCCUUUUCAGGACCACCAAAUUGAUUUAGAAAAGCUGUCU
rfam:Crassostrea gigas strain 05x7-T-G4-1.051#20 contig20846, whole genome shotgun sequence.